CCCCGGUUAGCUUACUUGGCAGAGCGCUCCACUUGAAAUAGAGAGGUCCCUGGUUCGGAUACCAGGACGAGGCA
rnacentral:tRNA from 1 species